rnacentral:tRNA from 1 species
GGGUGUGAUGCUCGAAAAGGAAAGGGCAGAGGCUAGGAGCCUCGGGUAUUGCAAGACGCCUGUGCAGGUUCGAAUCCUGUCACACUCU